rnacentral:rRNA from 1 species
GGUUAAGCGACUAAGCGUACACGGUGGAUGCCCUGGCAGUCAGAGGCGAUGAAGGACGUGCUAAUCUGCGAUAAGCGCCGGUAAGGUGAUAUGAACCGUUAUAACCGGCGAUUUCCGAAUGGGGAAACCCAGUGUGACUCGUCACACUAUCAUUAACUGAAUCCAUAGGUUAAUGAGGCGAACCGGGGGAACUGAAACAUCUAAGUACCCCGAGGAAAAGAAAUCAACCGAGAUUCCCCCAGUAGCGGCGAGCGAACGGGGAGGAGCCCAGAGCCUGAAUCAGCAUGUGUGUUAGUGGAAGCGUCUGGAAAGGCGCGCGAUACAGGGUGACAGCCCCGUACACAAAAGCGCAUGUGCUGUGAGCUCGAUGAGUAGGGCGGGACACGUG